ACUCUUCCUUUUUUCAGAAUCCUGUUUGAACCAGCUGCCUAGAAACAUGGGUGCAUACUUCCCCCGCUGAACCUUCAGGACUAACAGACCUUCAAAGAGUUCUGACUGCCACAGCAGCCAUAGCAGAAGCACUCGUCUCACGGCCCCAUCAGAUUCUAACGGAUCUGCAAAUUCUGUUAAAUACCCAUCAUCAAUCUUGGACAGGACACAAGACGACCUUCUGAGACUAGUCUCCACCAUUCAGCCAGUUUCUUUCAUUUACCUACUUUCAAGUAUUACUUUGCUCAUCAGGCCCUCUUUGGGCUUCCCCAAGUUUCUCACCAGAUCCCAUGAUAGCUUACUGCAAAUUCCCAAGACAAUUGGCUGCUGCACUCUGUUCAUCCCUCGCCAGCAUCCUGGUCUAUUGGGAGAAACCCUGUCCUUCCCCAUCUAAAACUCACAAGGCAGGUUGUUACCGUGUGGGUGCGGUAAAGCUCCAGGGCCGAAGGAGUUGGAAUGUAGGAAUGUGAAGGAAUAAUUCUUGAUCUUGAAGACCGAAGAAGCAUGAGUCAGGAAACACAGGAGAAGCUCUCUGUACCCAUCUUAAAAGUUAAGCCAGUGUAUCAGGUAAUUUAUCAAUGUUUUCUGCAGAAUGAACAGCAGUUUCUGUGGACUAGAAGAUCCCAAGACAAGCUAUGUUAAAACAGAAAAAUGAAGUUAUCUAUGAGUUCUUCAAAUUGUAAACCAAGAUUUAGCUAUGAAGCAGACAUGUCUCAAAUACGACUAGUUUACACUGGGAUUUGAGUUACGUAAACAUCAGUUUGCUAUGGACUGUGGUACAAACUAAAAUCUAGAAGAAUUAAGGAAGCAAAAAGGAGUUUAAACUUUAUACUUGAUGAAUAGCAGUGAAUCAGAAUAGAUCAAAGUAUUCUCCAAACCUCUUCAAAAUGACAAUAGUGAAGAAGGAUGUUAAAAAAACUAAACAUAAUUCUCAUGCUUUCAAUAGUGCUUUUGCCUUUCAUCCAGAAGCCACUGAAAGCACUUUAUAGAACAUUAGAACAAUUUCAAACAAUUCAUAUACUAGGACACCCAGUCACACUGCCAACACCAGUGAAGUGCAGGCAUUUGCGCCAUGAUAACUGAACACAGCAUGCAAUGAAGCUUAAUGGAAAAAAAUGGAAGAGGGUGCCAAGUGUCAUGUGCUCCCUAGAUUGUGUCAGAGGAUCUGACUCCUGAUGUCCAUGGGACAUUUCAGAGAUUAGAGUUUCCAAGAAUGCAAUUUAGGUAAGACCUUAGAAGAAGUAGAAGGUCAUGUGACAUAGCAAUACACAUGAUAAGUAAUUCUACUUUAGCCAAAAUGUAGCAAGGAAGUUUAGAUAUAAUACCACAGGAACAGUCAAAUGUAUUAUGGAACUAAAUUGUUCGUAAGACUGAAAUUGAGAUCCCUUCACCUUUGCAUAACUUGCUUGAAAAUUGUUUGAAGUUAGAAGUUUAGGACAGUUUCUACCCAAGGAUUACAAUACUGGCAUUUUUUAUAAAAAUAUACCUAGUAGAUAAAUUGCACAGAAAUCACCAUCAUGCUUAGCUGACUAGUUGGCAGGGGACAGCAGACAUGUACUGCCAAAAGAGAUUUCACAGGACAAGCAAUGGACCCCCAACAGCAAGCUCUGCUAAACAGAGUUGAGAAGACUUGGCAGCAGGGUGUGAAGGUGUCUGUCUAUAAGAAGCAGUCUAAAAAUUGCUACAAGCACUGAAUUAUUAAAAAAAAAAAAAAAAAAAGUGUUCAGUGGAAAGAAUUAUGAACUUGGAAAAUACCAGAAGGCAUAGAACAUUCUGAAGAACAUGGUGCACUUUAAAUAAUUAAAAUCAGGCAAGAAGGCAAUGACAGGCAAAUAAAAAACCCCCAUCACAGCAGUAACAGUACCUGUGUUGUUUUCCUGCACCUUGUCUUAUGUUAUGCAUGUGGUAUCAGCUUACGAAAGGUUCCCUCAACUUGUCAGUAUCAAAUAAAUAAUCAGAAGAGCUAUUAUAAUCUGA